rfam:Felis catus isolate Cinnamon breed Abyssinian chromosome F1, whole genome shotgun sequence.
GCCUGGGUGGCUCAGUUGGUUGAGCGUCCGACUUUGGUUCAGGUCAUGAUCUCGCGGUUCGUGGGUUUGAGCCCCAUGUUGGGCU